UAUUAUUUACUGUAUAGAAAAAUGGCCGGAGUAGUAGUAGUUAUGAUCUUGAAACUCAAAGAAUUUGGCGGUGUUUUAGUCCUUUCAGAGGAAUUUGUCCUGUAAUUGAUAUUACACGAUUUAUGAUACUUAGUUUGGUUAGUCAGUUUAUAUACCGCCGUCGUAAGAUUAUCUUGUGGAGAGAGGGAAUUUUCCUUGUGUGGGAUUUCAUUUAUGUCAGGUCAAGGUGUAGCUAAUAAUUAAGGAGAGAUGGGUUACAAUAAAUUUAUUUAUUAUGGAUAAUUAUGAUUAAAGUUUGAUUUGAAGGUGGAUUUGAUUGUAAAUUAAUUGAAAUUGAUUUUUUGAUUGUGGCUCUAAAACGUGCACACAUCGCCCGUCGCUCUCGUUUUAAGAUGAG
rnacentral:rRNA from 1 species